rnacentral:misc_RNA from 1 species
GAUGAAGAACGCAGUGAAAUGCGAUAAGUAAUGUGAAUUGCAGAAUUCAGUGAAUCAUCGAAUCUUUGAACGCACAUUGCGCCCGCCAGCAUUCUGGCGGGCAUGCCUGUCCGAGCGUCAUUUCAACCAUCAAGCCCCGGCUUGUGUUGGAGCCCUGCGGCCGCCGCAGCCUCCUAAAAUUAGUGGCGGGCUCGCUAUCACACCGAGUGCAGUAGUUUACUCUUCGCUCAGGGCGUGCAGCGGGUUCCAGCCGUGAAACUCCCCACUUUCAAGGUUGACCUCGGAUCAGGUAGGAAUACCCGCUGAACUUAAGCAUAUCAAUAAGCGGAGGA